rnacentral:rRNA from 1 species
AUUGAACGCUGGCGGCAGGCCUAACACAUGCAAGUCGAGCGGAUGAAGGGUGCUUGCUCCUGGAUUCAGCGGCGGACGGGUGUGUAAUGCCUAGGAAUCUGCCUGGUAGUGGGGUAUAACGUCCGGAAACGGGCGCUAAUACCGCAUACGUCCUGAUGGAGAAAGUGGGGGAUCUUCGGACCUCACGCUAUCAGAUGAGCCUAGGUCGGAUUAGCUAGUUGGUUGGGUAAAGGCCUACCAAGGCGACGAUCCGUAACUGGUCUGAGAGGAUGAUCAGUCACACUGGAACUGAGACACGGUCCAGACACCUACGGGAGGCAGCAGUGGGGAAUAUUGGACAAUGGGCGAAAGCAUGAUCCAGCAAUGCCGCGUGUGUGAAGAAGGUCUUCGGAUUGUAAAGCACUUUAAGUUGGGAGGAAGGGAAGUAAGUUAAUACCUUGCUGUUUUGACGUUACCAACAGAAUAAGCACCGGCUAACUUCGUG